UGGAGAGGUUUGAUCCUGGCUCAGAUUGAACGCUGGCGGCAGGCCUAACACAUGCAAGUCGAGCGGAAACGAGUUAUCUGAACCUUCGGGGAACGAUAACGGCGUCGAGCGGCGGACGGGUGAGUAAUGCCUAGGAAAUUGCCCUGAUGUGGGGGAUAACCAUUGGAAACGAUGGCUAAUACCGCAUAAUGCCUACGGGCCAAAGAGGGGGACCUUCGGGCCUCUCGCGUCAGGAUAUGCCUAGGUGGGAUUAGCUAGUUGGUGAGGUAAGGGCUCACCAAGGCGACGAUCCCUAGCUGGUCUGAGAGGAUGAUCAGCCACACUGGAACUGAGACACGGUCCAGACUCCUACGGGAGGCAGCAGUGGGGAAUAUUGCACAAUGGGCGCAAGCCUGAUGCAGCCAUGCCGCGUGUGUGAAGAAGGCCUUCGGGUUGUAAAGCACUUUCAGUCGUGAGGAAGGUAGUGUAGUUAAUAGCUGCAUUAUUUGACGUUAGCGACAGAAGAAGCACCGGCUAACUCCGUGCCAGCAGCCGCGGUAAUAA
rnacentral:rRNA from 1 species